rnacentral:rRNA from 1 species
UACGGAGGGAGCUAGCGUUGUUCGGAAUUACUGGGCGUAAAGCGCACGUAGGCGGUUAUUCAAGUCAGAGGUGAAAGCCCGGGGCUCAACCCCGGAACUGCCUUUGAAACUAGAUGACUAGAAUCUUGGAGAGGUCAGUGGAAUUCCGAGUGUAGAGGUGAAAUUCGUAGAUAUUCGGAAGAACACCAGUGGCGAAGGCGACUGGCUGGACAAGUAUUGACG